rnacentral:lncRNA from 1 species
CAGCAGUAAACGGGAGCAUAAAUAUGCUUCUAAAACAGAAACUUCAUACAAAAGUUAACAACAAUGCUAUCCAUCAAGCAUUAACACAGAAAUGAAAAUCAAUAGUUCUAGAUGGCACUAACUUGGACUGCAGAAGAACUUAUGCAACGUAUCAACCUGAAAGAAAGUGUUGUACAGUAAAUAAUCAAUAUGUAUAUUGUCAGUAUUCUAGUUCUUAAAAAAAGUCACAUAUUUUUUUUACAUAUGUGAAAAAUUUAGAUGUAAUAAGAGGAGAUGCAUGUGUGAAUUUGCUUUCACAGGUGAACAUGGCACUCUACUAUAAGACAUUAACAAAGCCAGCAAGACUACAUGUAUAUAGCAUUCUCAAAUGUCAUCUUCAGAACACCAUGACAUAAAGAGGAAAUUACACCGCAGGUCCACGAACUUGGCAGCGAUGUUCAGUUUCAUUCAUUAACUUGAAAACUGUUCAAAUGACUCACUAAACUUGGUAGUUUUGUUCAUUUUAAUCCAAUUGGCCAAAAUCAGAUGAAAUUCGGCCACGCUGGCAUGUGUCGUGGACCUGGCCGGCGUCUGAGGGGGCUUUUCAUAAUUUUCUGGUUAUGGACCUUUUCUGUUUAACCCCCUCGAAUCUCCAGAAUGGGGAGACGCUGCCCUCGCCGGUGAACCCACUUCGGGCCGGCAUACGCGGUGUCCAAGCGAAUGGCUUUGUCGAUGGGUUCGGCGGUGGCUACUUGAACGGUCAGAUCCACGUCACAUGCUAUCAUGACCGAAUUUCGCUCGAAUCUGACCAUUUGGACUAAAAUGAGCAAAGAUGUCAAGUUUAGUGAGUCAUUUGAGAGUUUUCAAGUUAAUGGAUGAAACUGAAUAUCGCUGCCAAGUUCGUGUACCCGCAGUGUAAUUUCCUCUGACACAAACUUGCAAGCACAAAUAAGAAUGGCAAUAAGAAAACCAUGAUAUAAUAAAAAUAAGAGGAAGAUGCAGUGCGUAACAAAAAUGUUCUGCCAGAGUAACUAUCAACUGACAAGGCACAGAUAUACCAAGAAAUCAGACUCCCAUUGUAGCAGUUUUUGGUAAUACCUAUUGGGAUUUAAUUCAGCCUGCUUGUUGCCAUGAGAUUGGCCUUUAUCAUCCCCCUCCACCUGCAUUUACAAAAGUAAAGAGUAGUCAGAACCUUGAGAUAAUGUACUGGUUGUAGCAAAGAAGUGUUCAUAGCAAACAAAACACAUACAGGAAAAGUUAAAAGAGAUACUAGAGAAGGAGCACCCUCAGCUCCCUACAUGGCAAACUAUCCAGUAGAUUUUCAUUUGAUAAAGAUCAGCCACAAUGCACGUACAUCGCCUACUUGCCUUUGAGCUGAGCCGCAGUAACGAGAAGCCUCAGCACCGGCUCUAGCACCUACUAGGAGAGAAGGUUUAGCAAAUAACACUACUGAGCUACAUACAGUAGCAGCAAACUAUCCAAUCCAUCGCCAUGGCAUAGCAACCAAAACCAGAUCUUUUGCAAGAGGAGAAGAAGCUACAAACCUUAGAUACUCCCAAGAAAAUGUAUUGAAGUUCAAUCCACUUGUGGUAGUGAGGCAGUGAG